AUUGAACGCUGGCGGCAGGCCUAACACAUGCAAGUCGAGCGGAUGAAGGGAGCUUGCUCCUGGAUUCAGCGGCGGACGGGUGAGUAAUGCCUAGGAAUCUGCCUGGUAGUGGGGGAUAACGUCCGGAAACGGGCGCUAAUACCGCAUACGUCCUGAGGGAGAAAGUGGGGGAUCUUCGGACCUCACGCUAUCAGAUGAGCCUAGGUCGGAUUAGCUAGUUGGUGGGGUAAAGGCCUACCAAGGCGACGAUCCGUAACUGGUCUGAGAGGAUGAUCAGUCACACUGGAACUGAGACACGGUCCAGACUCCUAAGGGAGGCAGCAGUGGGGAAUAUUGGACAGUGGGCGAAAGCCUGAUACAGCCAUGCCGCGUGUGUGAAGAAGGUCUUCGGAUUGUAAAGCACUUUAAGUUGGGAGGAAGGGCAGUAAGUUAAUACCUUGCUGUUUUGACGUUACCAACAGAAUAAGCACCGGCUAACUUCGUG
rnacentral:rRNA from 1 species